GUGAGCCCAGGGCCAGGAUAGCAGGGGGCUGUGGGUCAGAAGUGAAGGGCACUGGGAGAGCUGUGGGCGUGGGGUGCACAGGACCGGGAUAGCAGGGGGCGGGGGGUCAGAAGUGAAGGGCAUUGGGAGAGCUGGUGGGGGUUGAGUCCAGGGCCGGGAUAGCGGGGGGCACUGGGUCGGAAAAGGGGGCACUGGGAGAGCUGGGCGUGGGGUGCGCAGGGCCGGGAUGUGGGGGCGCUGGGUCGGAAGUGAAGGGCACUGGGAGAGCUUGGGGGGGUGAGCCCGGGGCCGGGAUAGCAGUGGGCAGUGGGUCGGAAGUGAAGGGCACUGGGAGAGCUGGGGGGGGGUGCGCAGGGCCGAGAUAGCAGGGGGCGCUGGGUCGGAAGUGAAGGGCAUUGGGAGAUCUGGGGGGGUGAGUCCAGGGCUGGGAUGGAGGGGCGCUGGGUCGGAAGUGAAGGGCAUUGGAAGAGCUGGGGGCGGUGAGCCCAGGGCCGGGAUGGGGGGGGGCGCUGGGUCGGAAGUGAAGGGCACUGGGAGAGCUGGGGGGGGGUGAGCCCAGGGCCGGGAUAGCGGCGGGCGCUGGGUCGGAAGUGAAGGGCAUUGGGAGAGCUGCGGGGG